UUGGCUGAAAGGGGGGGGGGGGGAGAUGCACGCUCGUGGUUUGAGUCUUGUAUGUAAGUUCAGGAUCUUCCUGCCUCCGUCUUCUGAGCGCCAAGGUUGCAGGCAUGCACCAGCCAGCGAAAGGCUAGCAAAAGGCAGCUUCUGACUUGAGCUGCCACAAAGUCCUGACGUGACAAGCAGCAGGAACCUGCCUGCUUUGGAAUCCAAGCCCGGGAAUGCCCAGGGAUGGCAGGCUCUGUGAUCUGUGAAGACUGAUGGCAGAGAGCACUCCCUUGAUUGCUCCAAGCAUCUCUGGGGCAGGUGCUGCGUAAAGAUUGUUAGUAAUAAAUAUGAAGUCUUACACCAA
rnacentral:lncRNA from 1 species